rnacentral:rRNA from 1 species
GAUGAACGCUGGCGGCGUGCCUAAUACAUGCAAGUCGAGCGAACAGACGAGGAGCUUGCUCCUCUGACGUUAGCGGCGGACGGGUGAGUAACACGUGGAUAACCUACCUAUAAGACUGGGAUAACUUCAGGAAACCGGAGCUAAUACCGGAUAAUAUAUUGAACCGCAUGGUUCAAUAGUGAAAGACGGUUUUGCUGUCACUUAUAGAUGGAUCCGCGCCGCAUUAGCUAGUUGGUAAGGUAACGGCUUACCAAGGCAACGAUGCGUAGCCGACCUGAGAGGGUGAUCGGCCACACUGGAACUGAGACACGGUCCAGACUCCUACGGGAGGCAGCAGUAGGGAAUCUUCCGCAAUGGGCGAAAGCUUGACGGAGCAACGCCGCGUGAGUGAUGAAGGUCUUCGGAUCGUAAAACUCUGUUAUUAGGGAAGAACAAAUGUGUAAGUAACUAUGCACGUCUUGACGGUACCUAAUCAGAAAGCCACGGCCAACUACGUG